AGACCCGAAACCCGGUGAUCUAGCCAUGGGCAGGUUGAAGGUUGGGUAACACUAACUGGAGGACCGAACCGACUAAUGUUGAAAAAUUAGCGGAUGACCUGUGGCUGGGGGUGAAAGGCCAAUCAAACCGGGAGAUAGCUGGUUCUCCCCGAAAGCUAUUUAGGUAGCGCCUCGUGAAUUCAUCUCCGGGGGUAGAGCACUGUUUCGGCUAGGGGGCCAUCCCGGCUUACCAACCCGAUGCAAACUGCGAAUACCGGAGAAUGUUAUCACGGGAGACACACGGCGGGUGCUAACGUCCGUCGUGAAGAGGGAAACAACCCAGACCGCCAGCUAAGGUCCCAAAGUCAUGGUUAAGUGGGAAACGAUGUGGGAAGGCCCAGACAGCCAGGAUGUUGGCUUAGAAGCAGCCAUCAUUUAAAGAAAGCGUAAUAGCUCACUGGUCGAGUCGGCCUGCGCGGAAGAUGUAACGGGGCUAAACCAUGCACCGAAGCUGCGGCAGCGACGCUUAUGCGUUGUUGGGUAGGGGAGCGUUCUGUAAGCCUGUGAAGGUGGCCUGUGAGGGUUGCUGGAGGUAUCAGAAGUGCGAAUGCUGACAUAAGUAACGAUAAAGCGGGUGAAAAGCCCGCUCGCCGGAAGACCAAGGGUUCCUGUCCAACGUUAAUCGGGGCAGGGUGAGUCGACCCCUAAGGCGAGGCCGAAAGGCGUAGUCGAUGGGAAACGGGUUAAUAUUCCCGUACUUGGUGUUACUGCGAAGGGGGGACGGAGAAGGCUAUGUUGGCCGGGCGACGGUUGUCCCGGUUUAAGCGUGUAGGUGUGUGUUCCAGGUAAAUCCGGUUCACUUUAACAC
rnacentral:rRNA from 2 species